CCUCUCUAAUCAACAUAUAUUAAUGACACAGUUUCACAUUUUUAAUCAUUAGAUGCGAUAAUUAUUCUAUUCAAAAUAUAUAGCAGAAUAAAUAUUGAAGAGCACGUUUGCAACCUUUUAUAACAACGUGCAUACCUCAUAAUCAUUUUGUUUAAUAGUUCCUUUAAUAAAAUAAUUUAAAAGAACUAACACGCAUGUUGAGUUAUUCUUAACAUUCGUCCAUAACAUCCAACUAUAAAAAGUUUAUUUAGAAAAAAGAAAAAUAAUCAUCUUUUGAACAAAAUGUUUUACCGCAUUAUUCCUAAUAUAUUAAAAACAAGAGUCAUCUCGAGAGAUUACUUGGUAGUAGAUAUCUUGAUUCAAUGUUUAAUAUUGAUUCAUCCCGUUGGCAACUGUUUUCUCGAUGAUGACCUGCAUAUGAGA
rnacentral:lncRNA from 1 species